ensembl:lncRNA
AGGAGGGUUAGCUGAGCAUUAGGAGGGUUAGCUGAGUGUUAGGAGGGUUAGCUGAGCGUUAGGAGGGUUAGCUGAGCGUUAGGAGGGUUAACUGAGCAUUAGGAGGGUUAGCUGAGCGUUAGAGAUGUUCAGGACGACGAGGGCUUUGCAAUCACAGUUGAUCAUGUGCAUGAUUUUAAAAAUUGUCAAACCUCAACAUAUUCAAUGUAAUAAAUCCAUCAGACAUUGCUCAUGUCCAAGGAGGACUCUGCUAAAAAUGUGUCUGUUAUUACAAAAUGGACAGGAGUGAUGUGAUAUAUGAUGAAGUUAGAUAUGAAAACAUUUGUUUAAAAAAUAAAAAAAAAUAAAAAAAAUGUACUCACCUUCAAUAUAUAAAUGAAACCCUAUCCAGACAGCAUCCAGACGAAGAACCAGAAAGCAACUGGAAACCAGAGUAUAGAGAUGCCUUCAACCAAAAGGUUGUUGUGUUCUAGCCAUGUUCUCUUGACGAGUGUGUGCAGUUCGUCUUCUGACUCCGCACAGUAAAAAGACAAUGAACGGGGAAGAGUACAAAUCAACCAAACCACAGGUCACUCACAGCUUCCUCUUUUCAGCUUCUCUGUGCCAUUUUAUCUGAGGACAAAGUGGCACACUCAUGUACAGCCACACAAGCCUUGCUCCAAUAUUACACAAUCACUCACACAUUUCAUGCAUUUUUUUCGUUCUUCAGUUCAUACACUUUCAAAAGCUU